GAACAUAUAGGUUUGGUCCCAGCCUUCCUGUUAACUUUCAAUAGACUUAUACAUGCAAGCAUCCACGCCCCGGUGAGUAACGCCCUUCGAAUCACACAGGACUAAAAGGAGCAGGUAUCAAGCACACACUCUUGUAGCUCACAACGCCUUGCUUAACCACACCCCCACGGGAGACAGCAGUAACAAAAAUUAAGCCAUAAACGAAAGUUUGACUAAGUCAUAUUGACCAGGGUUGGUAAAUCUCGUGCCAGCCACCGCGGUCAUACGAUUGACCCAAGCUAACAGGAGUACGGCGUAAAGCGUGUUAAAGCAUCAUACUAAAUAGAGUUAAAUUUUAAUUAAACUGUAAAAAGCCAUAAUUAUAACAAAAAUAAAUGACGAAAGUAACCCUACAAUAGCUGAUACACCAUAGCUAAGACCCAAACUGGGAUUAGAUACCCCACUAUGCUUAGCCCUAAACACAAAUAAUUAUAAAAACAAAAUUAUUCGCCAGAGUACUACCGCAACAGCCCGAAACUCAAAGGACUUGGCGGUGCUUUAUACCCUUCUAGAGGAGCCUGUUCUAUAAUCGAUAAACCCCGAUAAACCUCACCAAUCCUUGCUAAUACAGUCUAUAUACCGCCAUCUUCAGCAAACCCUAAAAAAGGGACAAAAGUAAGCUCAAUAAUAACACAUAAAGACGUUAGGUCAAGGUGUAACCUAUGGAGUGGGAAGAAAUGGGCUACAUUUUCUACCCAAGAAAAUUUAAUACGAAAGCCAUUAUGAAAUUAAUAGCCAAAGGAGGAUUUAGCAGUAAACUAAGAAUAGAGUGCUUAGUUGAAUCAGGCCAUGAAGCACGCACACACCGCCCGUCACCCUCCUCAAGUAAAUAUGAUAUACUUAAACCUAUUUACAUAUAUCAACCACACGAGAGGAGACAAGUCGUAACAAGGUAAGCAUACUGGAAAGUGUGCUUGGAUAAACCAAGAU
rfam:Ovis aries complete mitochondrial genome.